ACCAGGCAAGCGUAGCGAUCCGGUGAAUAUUUCACUUUGUUUUCCCUUUCCCAGGACUUUGAAUCACCAAUACGACUACACGUUUGACUGGACAAUGUUAAAGCAGAAAGCAGCACAACAGGCAGCCUCUUCCAGUGGGCAGGGGCAGCAAGCCCAAACCCCCACAGGCAAGCAAACUGACAAAUCCAAGAGUAACAUGAAAGGUUUUUGAGCAUGAAGAAGAGAACAGAUGAAGCAGAGCAGAAUGGAGCAGGAUGUAUCACUCCCCGAAUCCUAGGAAUUUUAGUUCAUAAACACGCCAGAGGUUGUGGGAAACCAUCUACUUGAUGUAAAGAACUUAAUUUCAAUAUAAACUGGUUCUGGGCAGCGCUAUUGAUGCUGCUCCUUGAGUUGUAGCAGCUGUAAUUGUGAAUAUUACUGAGAUAGUGAAAUAUGGUGUCCAGUUUUCUAUUACAUUUUUUCAAGUGGAAAAGUUAACUGAAUGGUUGACACACCGGUGGUCGAAAAGAAUUGUGCAAAUGCCAAUUUUUGUAACCUUUUUACUUUGAACGACACUCCUUACAAGACCUUUAUCGUUUUGGAAGAAUGGCAUGAACAGUCUUCAGCAACAGUUGUGAUAAUUGUAAAUGCUCACAAUUGUGCACUUUCUGGGUAUUCCUCCCUGGUUUGAAAGUUGUACACUUAAAACAUUCUUAAAAAUUGCUCAUGUCUGUGUGACAUAAAGAGCCAGCUGACAUGGUAGUAACCAAAGAUUCCAGUUUUUAAGCAUAUGAAAGACUCUGCCUGCUUACCUGUGCUAGAAGUAACAGCAUCUAAAGUGAAGACUUAAGAGAAACUUAGCGACUACUAGAUUAUCUUUAGGACUCUGCAUUAACUCUAUAAUGUUCUUGGUAUAAAAGAAGAAACAGCAUAUUUGUCACAAAUUUAGUUAACAUCUUACAACUGAAACUGUAUGUAAGUUGCUUAGAUAAAUGUAAUCACUGUAAACAUCUAUACGAUCUGGGAUUUUGUUUUUAUUUUGAAACGGGAGCUUUUUUUGUUUACAAGUUCAUUAAAAAAAAACUAAACUGUUUCUGUAAGGAAAUGAGAUUUUUUUUUAAUUUGCCUUGACGAUUUGCAAUCUAAAUUAGACACCGACCUUUUUUAAAAAUAGGCAACUACAAGGCCAUUUGUUAAAGCAAAAGUCCUAUUUCUUAAUCAUUUUAGAUCUAGUAUAAUUCUUCCUCACUUUUGUUUUUAAAUAAAUUUUGUAUUUUUUUUUUCUUGACGGGGAAGGGGCACUCUUGCAUUUUUAUAAUCUGUUGCAUUAACACCCAGCCCUCUGUAAUGAGAGACUGAAUAAAAAAUAAAGGCAUCUUUUCAGACCCAUCACAGCCGCUCACAAGCCUUGCCCUUGUCUUGCACUAGCAGGACUGAUUUGCAGAAAUUAGCUUUGCGGAUUUAAAAUGGGAGUGUGUGGAGGGUUUUUAAAAGGAGGCAUUUUUUUCUUGUGAAGUGGGUAUGACUGGAUUGGCUCUUAUUCUUGGGCAGUGUGCAACAUUCACAUUGGUUACGGCCUUAGGCUGUCCUCCUCACUCUAGUCCAGCCGAAAGACAUUCUUAACUGCUGGUGAUUCAUCUAACAGUGUAAUUUAUUCCUUUAUAGCAUGUUCAGAAUAAAUUUAAAAAGUUGUCUGAAAA